GACGAACGCUGGCGGCGUGCCUAAUACAUGCAAGUCGAGCGCAGGAAGUCGACGGAACCCUUCGGGGGGAAGUCGACGGAAUGAGCGGCGGACGGGUGAGUAACACGUAAAGAACCUGCCCUCAGGCCUGGGAUAACCACGAGAAAUCGGGGCUAAUACCGGAUGGGUCAUCGGACCGCAUGGUCCGAGGAUGAAAGGCGCUCCGGCGUCGCCUGGGGAUGGCUUUGCGGUGCAUUAGCUAGUUGGUGGGGUAAUGGCCCACCAAGGCGACGAUGCAUAGCCGACCUGAGAGGGUGAUCGGCCACACUGGGACUGAGACACGGCCCAGACUCCCACGGGAGGCAGCAGUAGGGAACCUUCCACAAUGGACGAAAGUCUGAUGGAGCAACGCCGCGUGAACGAUGAAGGCCUUCGGGUCGUAAAGUUCUGUUGUAAGGGAAGAACAAGUGCCGCAGGCAAUGGCGGCACCUUGACGGUACCUUGCGAGAAAGCCACGGCUAACUACGUGCCAGCCGCCGCAGUAAAAC
rnacentral:rRNA from 1 species